rnacentral:rRNA from 1 species
GACGAACGCUGGCGGCGUGCUUAACACAUGCAAGUCGAACGGCAAGGCCCUGCUUGCGUGCGGUGCCCGAGUGCCGAACGGGUGCGUAACACGUGAGUAUCCUGCCCUUGUCUUUGGGAUAACUUCACGAAACUGGGGCUAAUAUCGGACAGGAGCUCCUGCUCCAUGGUGGGCGUGGGAUCGUCUCGGCGGUAGGGGAUGGACGCGCGGCUUACCAGCUAGUUGGUGGGGUAGUGGCUUACCGAGGCAUGGACGGGUCGCCGGCCGGUGAGGGUGGCCGGCGACAUGGGGACUGCGGUACGGCGCAGACUCCUACGUGAGGCAACGGGGGGGAAUAUUGCACAGUGAUCGGGCGCCUGAUGCGGCAGCGCUGCGUGCGGGAUGACGGCUUUCGGGUAGUGAACCGCUUUCGCCUAUGACGCAGCGUGAGUGACGGUAAUGGGUAAAGAAGCACCGGCUAACUACGUG